ensembl:snRNA U6 U6 spliceosomal RNA
GUGCUCACUUUGGCAGCACAUAUAAAUACUAAAAUUGGAAUGAUACAGAGAAGAUUAGCUUGGCCCCUGCACAAGGAUGAUAUACAAAUUCAUGAAGCAUUCCAUAUUAAA